ensembl:rRNA 5S_rRNA 5S ribosomal RNA
GUCUACGGCUAUGCUGCCCUGAACAUGGGCAAUCCUAUCUUAUCUCGGAAGCUAAGCAGGGUCAGAUCUGGUUAGUACUUGGAUGGGAAGACCACCUAGGAACACCAGGUGCUGUAAGGG